AGCCUUCUGUAUCCGUGCUGAGAUUUCGUUACACACCAGACCACAAGGGCUGAUGAGACUUCCCAGAAAAAAACAGAU
rfam:Schistosoma haematobium scaffold235_4, whole genome shotgun sequence.